CCCGCCUCCCCCCUUCGCUCCUGCCCCUUCCUCGCCUCUCCUCUCUAUCUUCUGCGGCGGCGGCGCCGACUCCGCGUGAUUCCUCCUCCCCUGCUCGACUCCUCCUCCUCCCCCCUGAUUAGGGUUUCAGACGGCGGCGGCGCCCUCCACCGUCUGGUCCUUCCCCGCGCCCUCUUCAUCCUUCAGUGCCGCCUCCAGGUCACCGUCGCCGUCGCCCCUACGAACUCCGAGCACGCACGCGUGAGGCCUCCACCACCACCCACCGCAAUACCCCCGGUCCCUCCCUCUCUCCUGUCGUCUCUAACUCCCACCACCCAUUGGUUUUUUCGCCUCCCAACCCGCAGAACGACUGCGGCUCCUCUCUCGAUAGAACUACACCCUCGAUCUAUCUCCUAGGGCGUGUACGCCGCAGCCAUCGCGGAACUCUACGCCGCCAACGUCUUGCUACUCCGCCGACCGCCGCCGCGAACUCCGAGACCGCCGCCGCCGCCAUUGUGGAACCCCAGGCCACGGCAUUCUCAGAUUCCCAUGUGCGGCCGGUGGAGCAUGUGAGGCGAGCGCUUUAAUCAAAUCCAGGUUCCUAUGUCCGUUCAUAUAUACUACGAGUAUGAUACUGAUGGAUCAUCUGAUAUAAAAAUCUUCAUUCACUAAUGCAUAUGCGUUCAUUGUUAUUGCGAGGGAUACAAUUUUUGGAGAAGGGAUGGAGAUGGUGCCAUGGUGGAGGCUGCUGCCCAUCUAUGUGCUUGUCGAGUCAGACAUGCCCCUCUACAGGAAGUACCUCUCCCGGUACUACAUCAGCAAUCCUCCCGAAUCCAUCGAUGUGCAGCAGAUCGUGACGCCAUCCGCAUGGACGAACGAGAAUGGCCGCUUGAUUCCUCUUGCCCACUUGUGUCACGAGAUGGAGACCAAGCUCAUGGCUCAGUGCGGCCAGAGGCACAAUCAACAAUUGACUGACAUUGACUCACAGUGAGAUAGAACUAAGUAACAAAAUCAAGAUGCGUGUGUACGACAUCAUAGCUGGAAAGGCGAAUGUUUCGGUGUGUAUGCCGCUGCCACUGAUCUUAUGAAACGAUGCAUGGUUAAUCUGAAGUGUAUCGCCAAAGAGGCAGAGUUGAUGUGCGAGCAUAUGUGCAUGUGUACUUGUGUGUGUUAGCAGGCAGGAGCCCACCGCCGUGCCCGCCGGCGGCAUUGCCCAUGGCCGAGAAGACCGAGGACACCGAGGACCCAACGCCCUCAAGUACGAUGGCGUUGUACCGUCCUUUCUGCUGCGACUUAUGUUGACAAGUUUUGAGAUCGAUCUCAAUCUACAUAUGACCGUGAUCGGGAGGCGAACCCGGUUGCGCUUAGAGACAGUUGAAUAAUGGAGAUCCUCCAGCCACCGAGCUCCUCAAGGACACCUAAGGUGAGAAAUCCACGUUUUUUCAUACUGCUUGACGUUUAGGCCGAGCAGCCUGGUGAACUUCGACCCCAUCCAACCUCAUUUCGGCCACCACGUGGCUCCCCUCCCCACCUCACCCCGUCCAACGCAGUGCCUUCAUGCUAAGAGUUCAAGGGACUGUCCCCUCUCACCUAAGACAAGGUAUGUUGGUUAUGUGGGCAUUCGUAUGAAGUUAUGUGAGCAUGCGCUAGGUAUGAAAAGUUUUGUUUUAGUUGAUUGACAUUGAGGAUUAAAAACCUUAAAUGUGCCAUCAUGUUUUUAGGCGGUGUGCUCCAGGUUUGGCAAAUAUUAACUAACACUACAUGAACAUGAAGAUAAUCUUGGUGCCGGGCAAGCCUCACAUAGAGGUACAAUAUUCUUGGCAUAUCAAUAAUCCGAUUUAAUUAAUGUUGUUUGCCGAUGUUGCUACUCUGUCUAAGUCAUGAGAGAAUAUUUCUGGUCAUGGUAUAAUUGGAUGCAAUUUUGUAUGGAGGAAUCAAUAGUGAAGAAUUCUAUCAAGCAUUUAACACUGUUCUAUGUGAAUGUACACUGGAAGGUUAUAUAUGUUCUCACCAAUCUCUUUCUGUAUUAUUGUUUUUGUUGAUUGCCAAAAUGCUUUCCUGUAUUCAUGUGUUACCCAGUUGGCCGAUCAUUUUAUUCAACACAACUUGGUGCGGGCUUGGAAAACUGUAGUGCCUUUUACGAGACCAUACAAUGCACUCAAAUAGGAAUAUCACUAAAUAUCGGUUAGAUGCCAAUCAUGACCUUGAUUUCAAAUUUCAUCUUUGUGAAGAGAAGUUUCCUCUUCCAAUAAUUAUGGCCACUUUGUAACGCUUGUUUGCAUAAAGGGUUCCAGUUGGUCAAGUGUUUGGCCAUGUAAUUUUCAUUCUUUGCUUUAAUUGAGCAGAGAUGAAGGAAGAGUAGCAACAACAGUAAGAUUGAUGAAAUGAUACAUAUAUGUGACCAAUCAGACUUGAUUUUGGACUCUAGCAACUACCCUUCUAAGCAAGCAUGCUUGGCGUUUGAUGCAGAUUUUUUUCAUAUGUACAAUUACUCUAUUUGAAGGAAUACUGGGAUAUUAAAGAUAAGUUGACUAUAGGCUGGUUAGAGUUUAUUUUGCAACAGAGGAACAUGGCAAAUUAAACCAAGUAGCAGGAUAUAUUUUACUGUUUGCUUUAAUUCAUGGUGGAAAUUGCUUAUGAAUUAGUUGAGAUAUGCAAGGGCAUGCUUCCUGCAAUUUUAUUGGAUGGUACGGUGUUAGGCUCACAAUGUAUGUUAAUAUAAAUGGUCCUUUAUUCAGCAUACCUCUUUCUUCAUUUGGUUUGGCUUUCCUCUGCUGGUCAUGUAUUAGCAAUAAAAACCCAAGAAGUAGAAGAUUUGCCUUUCAAGUUCUCAUUGUUUGUUGUUCCUCCAUACUUAUUUGGUUGGGCUUGUUUGGAUUCUCCACAGUGUACACCAACAUGGGCGAUGUGCUCUUCACCAUGGCUUGGCGCUCGCUGCUGCCAUCCCUUGAAAGUGAUAUGACCUCCACGAGCACAAUAAAACCUCAAAACCCGUAGCAACGCACGGGCGUUCUACUAGUGGUUGUAAGAAUCCACCUGCACGUGGAAGAUGAUGAGAGGGUCUGACAGUGGAGCUGCUUGAGAUCCAGCCUAAUCAUAUAUUCGGUGCGGCAGUCCAGCUUGCCAUGCCUGCCUGCUGCCGUUCUGGGUUGGUGGUCCUGGUGAACAUUCCCCUGUUUCCAGCCACUUCAUUCACGGCCAUGGGACAUUUGGUAUGACAUCAUUUAUCGAGAAAUUUUUAGAGAAUGAGCCUUCUAUUAAUGUGAAGACUCAGAUGCUCUUUGGCCACCUAGAGUCACUCAAUCAUCUGGAUUGUUCUUCAUUAACAGGCCACUGGCAGAUCAACCAUUCCAGCCAUAUAGCAAUGACCUACAUAGUGUGCAUAGGUUUUUUGGCGCGGGACGGCAGCAAGUCUUUCUCUAUGGGAGCGGCUGUCCUCCGACUGUGUGAAAUCCCAACUGCAAAACAUGGCGUAAAAGCUGGAAAAGAAGACAAGGGAGCCGCCGCUACUGAUGUGGCCAGACCCAGGCUGAUUGAGUCGGGGGCAGGGCUAAUCUACUGGGGGGCUUUAACAGGCUCAAGUCCCCCUCCAGCACUGUAAAAUUUGUAUCUACUACUAAUUUUAAGGCCCAGCCCAGCUACUUGCAGGCCCAAUUCAACACAUAUUUGCAUGACCCAGGCAGCCCAGGCCCCCCUCCAUUUUUUUUCUAGCUGCGGUUAUGUAAUAUGUGUGUGGGAGCUCUGAUAGUUUCAGAUUUGUAUCUGUGCUGCUAGAGUCGCUGCAUUAGUUUACCUCUGUUUGUUUCAGUUUCUUUUGUUAUGUCCUACUAGUUUUAUUUAGUCCUUGCUGAGGUAGCGGUGGGGCUGUCCUCCGCGUGCUGAAUUGGUGUUUGUAAGACAAUUUGGUUUCUUUGCUAUGCAAUGGAACCGGAGCCCUGGUGCUCUUUUCCUCGAAAAAAAUGUAUAUUAAGUAGUAUCAGAACAC